rnacentral:lncRNA from 1 species
CGCACAUUCUGACGAGGACGAGGGUGGUGCAUAACGCGGAGGUCAAUUUUGCACAGUCCAGGCAAAAGAGACCCCCCCCCCCCACCAACAUCCCUUCCUGUUCAGUUUCCCUCUCUGGCCCAGCGCGAAGGGCGAGGGGCGACAGAAGCCCGAGGGACAGAAAACCGAGGCUCCUCAGUGGCCGAGUUGGGAGAGAGUUGCAAUACAGUUGACCCUUGGACAACAUGGAUUGGAACCGUGCAGGUCUACUAACUAAUACACAGAUUCUCUUCCACCUAUGCCACCCUUGAGACAGCAAGACCAACCCCUCCUCUUCCUCCUCCUUUUCAGUCCACUCAAUGUGAAGACAAGGAAAAUGAAGAACUUUAUGAUGAUCCAUGCUAUUAGUCUGUUCUCACACCGCUAAUAAAGACAUACCCGAGACUGGGUAAUUUAUAAAAGAAAGAGGUUUAAUGGACUCACAGUUCUACAUGGCUGCGGAAGCCCCACAAUCAUGAUGGAAAGCAAAGGAGGAGCAAAGUCACGUCUCACAUGGUAGCAGGCAAGAG